GACUUAAAAUUCGUUGGCUUUAUAAACCGUGAG
rnacentral:tRNA from 1 species